AUUGCGACCGGGCUUUCGUUUCUGUUUCGGUCGACGUUUACUUGACUCUGAAACAGGACAAGACACAGCGUCGAGGCAUGGGUUUUCAUCUCAGCAAAGCUGCUAUAUUUCCAGGUACCUGAUGUACGUGCUUUACUUAAUUUAUGGUCUCAUUAAAGUAUUCACAAUUAUUGCUCUCGCUUUUGAAGUUACGUAGAAUCAAAAAAGUGAUGAGUAUUGUAGUACUAAUCGGGAUAACUUUUUUGACCACACAGUUGUUUGUCACUUUGGAAUUUAUUCUUCCAAUAAAAACUAUUAGCACUAUUCGUACAUUUUUAAUCAAAUUGAGUUUAGAACAUAUUAUCUAUCAUACAGGUUUACUAGCACUAGUACGAAAUGAAAAGAUGGAAUGCCCUGGUUUUGAAUGGAAACAAUUCUAGUCUUUUUAAACAACGCCUUCAUACUGUUUCGAUAAACUGGAAGCCUCAGUGCAUACACAAUUGGAUUGACAGCGAAAUUCACCAUGGCAACUGGUUCGUAGUAGUAAGAAAAACGCCAAG